rnacentral:rRNA from 1 species
AGGAGCUUGCUCCUUGGGUGGCGAGUGGCGGACGGGUGAGGAAUACAUCGGAAUCUACUUUUUCGUGGGGGAUAACGUAGGGAAACUUACGCUAAUACCGCAUACGACCUACGGGUGAAAGCAGGGGACCUUCGGGCCUUGCGCGAUUGAAUGAGCCGAUGUCGGAUUAGCUAGUUGGCGGGGUAAAGGCCCACCAAGGCGACGAUCCGUAGCUGGUCUGAGAGGAUGAUCAGCCACACUGGAACUGAGACACGGUCCAGACUCCUACGGGAGGCAGCAGUGGGGAAUAUUGGACAAUGGGCGCAAGCCUGAUCCAGCCAUACCGCGUGGGUGAAGAAGGCCUUCGGGUUGUAAAGCCCUUUUGUUGGGAAAGAAAUCCAGCCGGCUAAUACCUGGUUGGGAUGACGGUACCCAAAGAAUAAGCACCGGCUAACUUCGUGCCAGCAGCCGCGGUAAUAC